rnacentral:rRNA from 1 species
AUUGAACGCUGGCGGCAGGCCUAACACAUGCAAGUCGAGCGGAUGAAGGGAGCUUGCUCCUGGAUUCAGCGGCGGACGGGUGAGUAAUGCCUAGGAAUCUGCCUGGUAGUGGGGGAUAACGUCCGGAAACGGGCGCUAAUACCGCAUACGUCCUGAGGGAGAAAGUGGGGGAUCUUCGGACCUCACGCUAUCUGCUGAGCCUAGGUCGGAUUAGCUAGUUGGUUGGGUAAAGGCCUACCAAGGCGACGAUCCGUAACUGGUCUGAGAGGAUGAUCAGUCACACUGGAACUGAGACACGGUCCAGACUCCUACGGGAGGCAGCAGUGGGGAAUAUUGGACAAUGGGCGAAAGCCUGAUCCAGCCAUGCCGCGUGUGUGAAGAAGGUCUUCGGAUUGUAAAGCACUUUAAGUUGGGAGGAAGGGCAGUAAGUUAAUACCUUGAUGUUUUGACGUUACCAACAGAAUAAGCACCGGCUAACUUCGUG